CGUACACUAGGCUUGACAUACGUGAUCCACGUGACUGUGCCGUUGCUCGCAAGAUCUGCAAGUCGUACGUGAAUAUUGCAUCGCGUCUGAUGUGCGCAUCACAAAGCGGUCGUUCAGCCUACGACAGAAAUACUUAUCAUCACCUCAACCCUCGAUGCAGACCGAGUCACGCACAACUUGGCAAUGCAACUUAACCGAGCUAUCGUCUCAAGUUCGCUAUUAACCACCCAUGUGUACAAUGGAGCUGCUGACAUUUGUUCGCCACGAAUGUGUAUGCAUAUGGAAAUUGUCGAAGAUAUUACGAGGAUAUUACGCGUGCUAGUUGAGGAAUUUGAACGAUGGCGUUUCAAUUUUCGACGUGCUUGGGUAAGGCGAUUGAAAGCUUUGUGGAGAAUGAGAAAUUCUUUGAGCUGUUCUGUUCUUCACGAUAUUAAUUUGAUUGUUGGUUGUUGGCACGAUGAUGGCUUUUCAUAUUUUUUCUUUUUGUAUUUCUGAAAAAUACUUUUGAUGAGAUUAGAUUAACGAAAACUACUUCUUUCCUUACCAUUCACGAAACAAAAGAAAUCUUAAAAAUACUUUGCAGUCAAAGCACAAAUUGUCACGAAUGUUGGCAAGGAAAAGUCUCGGUGCAUUGAAUUUCACGUUAAUAUAACGAACAAACCAUAUUCUCCGUGACUUAAGUUAAGCUUUAGACCCCCUCUUUUUCCUUCUCCUCCUCUUGCUAGUUGUAACGCGUGAUAAAGUGAAAAUAUCCCGGGCGGCGAGAGGAUUGGCCCUAUCAAGAGGUUGGAUAAGGAAAGAGGGGCCAUUUUUUAGCGACAUCCCCUUGUUAUCUGGCAAGAGGUCUAGGCGACACCGCGUAAUACCCGCGGUAGCGGCUUUCUAUGCAUUCAUAAGAUAUUCAUAAGCGCACCUCGUCUCGAUUGCCGACAAAAGGCGGACCUACGAUUAUCCUGAUGGCCGCGUAAAGAAACCUGGCCAGCCAAAAUACGUCGUGUUUCUUCCACCUGAAUUUUUUUCGCCCGUGAAAAAUGAAUAACGCGUAAAAGCGUGGAAAAUCGCUUUUGAAAUUAUUAGGUUAGACUGACGUAAUUGGUUAAUGGCCGAGUUAUCGGUGUUUUAAAUUUGAAAGCGAACUUUCCGUUCAGUGGAUAAUAUGUUAAUAAUUUAGAAUUUUUUAAUAACUAUCUUUAAUUUUAGAAAAUAAUUAAUGUAUGAAAAAUAUAAAUAUCUCAGAGAUAUAUAUAACCAAAGUUAUAUAGUUAUAAACCAGAGAGACAUCAAUGCCCAAAAUUCGCAAUUUCGUUCAAACUCUUCGAAAAAUAAAAUUUAAAAAUUUUGGCGAAGAAGGCAUAAGUUUCGUGAUAUCAUAACGUAUCAAAUUCUCCAACACUUCCAAAGCGAUUUUCACACUUUUAUUACAUUCCACAUAAGUUUCAGACUCUGAUAACUUGGGCCUGCACACCGGAUGCACGAAGUAUUUCAUACAAGGAGACAGAGAAUUGGAAGAUGUUUGAGCUACGUGUGCGUAGAGAUUACGGUUCGCGAGGUAAAGAUCGUAACUUUAUGUUUGUUUCAAGAAACGGAGCUGUUGGCUGUGAAGACGAUAAGCCUGAAAUAGCGUGGUUUGAACUUUGGCGGGGCAAGAUGUAGCUAUUGCUUUCCAUAUAAACCUGCUGCAUAAGCUUCUUUAAGAAAGCUGGAUUAUGCAAUAAGUGAUUGAAAUUUUUAAUAAGGCGGAUACGAGGCGGAAAGUGAUGGAGACGAGAGGAUGUACUUUAAUUACGUUUAUAAUUCAUGAGAAAUUAAUGGACAUUGUUUUUCGAGUGUCGUUUAGUGUAAUAUUGUUAUUCAUUCAUGAAAUACAGCUCGUUUGGAGAUUUAUUUCUUUUGUAUAAUAAAAAGAGCUGCUAUUUAAGAGUUAAUCUUUUUACAAAAUUAUUUUUCUUUUUCUUUUAUUCUUUAUUAUAUAUGAUCAAAUAAUAAAAAUAAUUUUUAAAUAAUAAAUUUUAAAUUAUAAAGUAGAUUUGGAUAAAAAUUUUCUGUCAUAAAUUUUAUCAUAUUAAAUCAAACUUUAUACGAUUCCUUACGUUUUCUUUAAGAAAAUUGGUAUCCAAUAUUUCUUAUUAUUUUUCAUAACUAUACGUAAAACAGUCAACAAUUUUCUCUGAUGAACUUAAUUCUUUUCUUCGACGAUUCGAAAUACGAAUUUUUUCUCACUUUUAAUAUUCAACGAAUAUAAUACUCGAUAUGAAUUUUUUGUUGCACGAUGGAUACAAUGAAGCAUAGAUAUAUUUAAUAAAGAAAGGAAUUCAAGAAAUUUGAAGAGAAAAAGAAAAGUAUAGCUUGAAAUAUUUUGGAAAAAUUUGUUAAAGUUAAUGGAAAUUCGCGAUAUAACGGAAAUAAUUUUUAAUUAAAAAGUACGAUAGCUUUGGAAAGUUCAUUUUAAUUAUACGGAUAUUACUUUCUCCUACAAUACUGUAUUUUUAAUUAAAUUGAAGCAUGAUAUAUGUACACGAUACAAUAAAAUUUAGAUCUCUUGUAAAAUUGCCAAUUUCGUUUCAAAUAUAUAAAGAUAUACACACGAAAUAUAUAAAGAUAAAUGACUAUUUAAUUUUAUCCAUAACAAUUUAUUCUCCAGAAAUUAUUAUAAUUUACCGGAUUCAGACAAUAAAGUAUUCAAAGUAUUUAAUAAAAUUAAAAAGAAAAAUUAUUGAAACGAGAGAACCAGCGAGAUGGAAUAUAAUCAAAGUUGAGAAAUUGAACAAGAAAAAUAUGAAAUUAAACUAUAAACUCUAUCUAACUAUGAAUCAAACUUUGUACUAAACGAUAAAAUUAUUUCAUUACAAAGAACUCGUAAAAUUGCCCGAAACAAAAUUAAAACUCAUUUUUAAUCUCACGUUUAAUUUCUUAAAAUAUAAUUUUUCUUCAAUUAUGUCUGUAAAAAGCUAAUGUAAUAAUAAACCGAUUCUAGUUUAGUUGAAACAACUGGCCAUGAGAAAAGGAGAUAAAAGAGCACUGCUACAAGAAAAAAAAUAGCAAGAGAUAGUCAUUCAAGAUACCGCGGUUGGGUUAAGAGACGCGUUAAAAGAUGGACGAACGACUGAGUAGCAGAUUGUAAAUUUCAUCUACGCCAGACCGCUACCUUAUCUGUUGCUGCCGACGUUGUUGCAUCGCGUUGUUCAACACGCGGCUGUGUAUACACGGUCGUAGAUACCUGCGAGUUGCUCCAACUGCACCCUGCGAGAAGUAACCGGUUUUCCAUGGAUGGAUAACAUACAACCUUGAUGCAUCCCUUCAGGGUAACGUGUCUCGCGCUACCAGAAAUUCCGUCACGUUAUCCAUCCUCUUGAGCUUUCGAAGGAUUUUCUUCCAUUUAUUUACUUGAAAGCGAGACGAAAGUUCGCAUAUGGGGUGCGAGAAAUACCGUAUGAAGAUCAAGAAUUUGCUUUUGGAUGAAAGAGCUGAUUUUUAAUUUAAUACAAUGAUAGAUAUGUAUAUUAGUCUCAAGUGUGGUAUCUAUGUGGUAUCAUUAUUUUUUCAACAGCUUCUGAGUACUUGUGUCAAGUAUAUAUAGAAUAUAAAUCAUUUUUUUUUGAUAUUUCAAUAUAAUUACUAAGAUGGAGUCUUAUAUAAUAUCAAAUAUUAGGAGUUUAUUUUUACUUAGUUAGAUGAAUAAAGUAAGAGAAAUUAUUUAUUAUUCCAAUUCUUUUUGUUUUAAUUAUUAGCCAUUAAAUGCCAGAGUAAGGAUUAAACUUAAAUAUGGAAAUGAAAUUAGUUUCAAUAUGAAUAUACAAUAUAAAUAAAUAUUGUUCAAUAUAAGUAUUAAAAAUUAAAGAACUUUUAUGAUUAAA